UCCCUGGUAGUAUAUCGGUUAGUACACGCGCCUGUCAUCAAAAAAGCGCUGAUGCACGUAAUUCGCGCGAAAGCUGGGUUCGACUCCCAGCCAGGGAG